UGGGGAAUAUUGCACAAUGGAGGGAACUCUGAUGCAGCGACGCCGCGUGUGUGAUGAAGGAAUUCGUUUCGUAAAACUCUGCUCUAUGGGAAGAACAGGACUGUACCAUAGUAGAAAGCUCCGGCUAAAUACGUGCCAGCAGCCGCGGUAAUACGUAUGGAGCGAGCGUUGUCCGGAAUUAUUGGGCGUAAAGGGUGCGCAGGCGGCUUUACAAGUUGGAUGUGAAAUAUUGUGGCUCAACCACAAACGUGCAUCCAAAACUGCAAAGCUUGAGUUAAGGAGAGGUAAGUGGAAUUCCUGGUGUAGCGGUGGAAUGCGUAGAUAUCAGGAGGAAUACCGGUGGCGAAAGCGACUUACUGGACUUAAACUGACGCUAAGGCACGAAAGCGUGGAGAGCAAACAGG
rnacentral:rRNA from 1 species